rnacentral:rRNA from 1 species
UUACGAUUGACGGAGCGAAGCGACGUCAAAGCGUAUACAAAGUCGAGUCGGUUUAAGGAUACGUUCGUUGGGUAGGGGAGCGUUCUGUAAGCCUGUGAAGGUGGCCUGUGAGGGUUGCUGGAGGUAUCAGAAGUGCGAAUGCUGACAUAAGUAACGAUAAAGCGGGUGAAAAGCCCGCUCGCCGGAAGACCAAGGGUUCCUGUCCAACGUUAAUCGGGGCAGGGUGAGUCGACCCCUAAGGCGAGGCCGAAAGGCGUAGUCGAUGGGAAACGGGUUAAUAUUCCCGUACUUGGUGUUACUGCGAAGGGGGGACGGAGAAGGCUAUGUUGGCCGGGCGACGGUUGUCCCGGUUUAAGCGUGUAGGUGUGUGUUCCAGGUAAAUCCGGUUCACUUUAACACUGAGGCGUGACGACGAGGCACUACGGUGCUGAAGCAACAAAUGCCCUGCUUCCAGGAAAAGCCUCUAAGCAUCAGGUAACAUCAAAUCGUACCCCAAACCGACACAGGUGGUCAGGUAGAGAAUACCAAGGCGCUUGAGAGAACUCGGGUGAAGGAACUAGGCAAAAUGGUGCCGUAACUUCGGGAGAAGGCACGCUGACACGUAGGUGAAGUGAUUUACUCAUGGAGCUGAAGUCAGUCGAAGAUACCAGCUGGCUGCAACUGUUUAUUAAAAACACAGCACUGUGCAAACACGAAAGUGGACGUAUACGGUGUGACGCCUGCCCGGUGCCGGAAGGUUAAUUGAUGGGGUCAGCGCAAGCGAAGCUCCUGAUCGAAGCCCCGGUAAACGGCGGCCGUAACUAUAACGGUCCUAAGGUAGCGAAAUUCCUUGUCGGGUAAGUUCCGACCUGCACGAAUGGCGUAAUGAUGGCCAGGCUGUCUCCACCCGAGACUCAGUGAAAUUGAACUCGCUGUGAAGAUGCAGUGUACCCGCGGCAAGACGGAAAGACCCCGUGAACCUUUACUAUAGCUUGACACUGAACAUUGAGCCUUGAUGUGUAG